CUCUUGUCUCUGAUAAAGGCAAGCAACUUUUUCAUUUGGUGAGGAAAUGGAGCUAUAUGAUCAUGCAUUCCAGAAUCAGUCAAUUCAAAAAGGAAGUACUUUUCAUGUUUAUACAAAUGUAGUAGAAUCUUGUUGCUACAGCUUAUUUUUUGUUUCUGUGAAGCAGCAGUCCUUUUUCAUUGGCCUUUUUUCCUGCAGUAAAUGCUCAUAAGAACUGUACCAUUUACCUCAGGAUAUCAUUGUGUUUGUAAUUGGAGGAGCCACCUAUGAAGAGGCUCUAACAGUUUAUAACCUGAACCGCACCACUCCUGGAGUGAGGAUUGUCCUGGGAGGCACCACAGUGCACAACACGAAAAGUUUCCUAGAGGAAGUUCUGGCUUCUGGACUGCACAGCCGAAGCAAGGAGAGCUCUCAAGUCACAUCAAGGUCAGCGAGCAGAAGAUGAAACGGUGGUUGGGGGAAGGGCACAGCUUCCUCUCUUGUCCCCACUACAGGCUUUCCCUACUAAACAAAGGUGUUGGAGAGCAGCUUUGGGUUCUGUGCUGGUUGUUAGAACUCAUCUCCAGGUAGCCCACGGAUACGUGGUUGGCACAGACACAAGACUCCCAGAGUUGUCCUAACAAUAAGUCUGAGCCCAUCUCAACCCACUUUUCUCCGGUAGUCUUUAUGUAUCUAUUAGCACAAUCACUUCAGUUACUGAUGAAUUUUGUUGGGAUCUGACUUGGGGAAAGGGUUAUCAGAGCCUAGAGGGGCUUAAAAAGUAAUCAUUUGAUGUACAUACCACAUUCCUUGGCUUCCUUUCUCUUCCCUUAACCCUUUCUGCUUUUCAUUAACCACAUUCCUGCACAACUCAUUUCUGAAAACGUACCAUGUUUCUUUACAGAGCCAUCCAAAAAAUUUUUGUCCCUACAUAGCAAUUUUCUGUGGCACUGAGAAACCAUGUAUGACCACAAUAAAAAUCCAUUUUGUGAAAGGA
rnacentral:sRNA from 1 species